ACGGAAGGCAGCAGUGGGGAAUAUUGGACAAUGGGCGAAAGCCUGAUCCAGCCAUGCCGCGUGUGUGAAGAAGGUCUUCGGAUUGUAAAGCACUUUAAGUUGGGAGGAAGGGCAUUAACCUAAUACGUUAGUGUUUUGACGUUACCGACAGAAUAAGCACCGGCUAACUCUGUGCCAGCAGCCGCGGUAAUACAGAGGGUGCAAGCGUUAAUCGGAAUUACUGGGCGUAAAGCGCGCGUAGGUGGUUUGUUAAGUUGUAUGUGAAAUCCCCGGGCUCAACCUGGGAACUGCAUCCAAAACUGGCAAGCUAGAGUAUGGUAGAGGGUAGUGGAAUUUCCUGUGUAGCGGUGAAAUGCGUAGAUAUAGGAAGGAACACCAGUGGCGAAGGCGACUACCUGGACUGAUACUGACGCUGAGGUGCGAAAGCGUGGCGAGCAAACAGGCUUAGAUACCCUGGUC
rnacentral:rRNA from 1 species